GUUUGACUGUUGGAACAGAACAAAGUUCACAUCAUCAACAACAACAGAGGUGGCAUUUCUACCAAUGAGAGAGACAGGAAGAGAAGAAAGCUAAAGAGACGGAUAAUAAAGAAAGACAGACACAGAGAUAAUCACAACUUUUACCUCUGGACUGAACCGACCCUAUUUUCUCCCUGAGGAAUUAUUCUGUGGAUUAGUGAAACCUGAUGUGACACAACCACACCGACGGAAUUCUAAAACGUUUAAGUCUUGAAGUUAUGUGACUUAAGUACGGACGGACAACUGCCAGGACAACUAUGUAACGGCAGACAUCUGCAAGUAUUUUCCACCUACAUCCAUUCAAACCUGCCUUUUUGAGGAUCCUGAAAAACUUAUGGAGGUGCUGAGUGGCCCCUGGGCUGAUUUGGCUCUGCUUCUUCGACAGACCAUCACACAGACAGACAGAGAGACAGACAGCUUUCUUCCUCUCUGGCUGUUUGGCCUGCUGCUGUUCCUGUCUGUCUCUCUGCUGCUGCUGCAAUUGAUUAUCUACCUCAGCUGGAAACUCAGACAGGUUGAGGCUGAUCUGUCGUCGUUUCCGCAAGACAGAAGCGCCAUCUACCGGAAGAUGUGCGGAUGUACAAACCAGAGCAGGAGUGUUGGGUCGCACUCUCACACCUGACACACACACACACACACACACACACACACACACACACACACACACACACCACACACACACACACACACACACACACACACCACACACACACACACACACACACACACACACAAGCCUUAAGAAGAUGAAUGUUAAAGCCUGCAACAAAAAAUAAUUACUGUCAUUGACGGUGUGUAAAAAUUACUUGUCUGUUGUCUUUGAAACCCUCAGGGAAAUAUGGAAGCUAUCAAGACAACUGCCUCUCUUCUGCCUUCUCAGACAUCAUAAUGAAGCUAAAGGCUUCUCUUAGAGCUGUAUUUAUCUCGUUUAAGGGUGGUGGGACAAUCUGUCAACCUGAAAUAAUUUUUUCGUAUAACUGUACAGUUUUUUUUUAACAUACAUACAUAUAUACAUAUAUAUAUAUAUACAUACAUACAUAUAUACAUAUAUAUAUACAUAUAUGU
rnacentral:lncRNA from 1 species